ACUCCAUCACUGAGAGUCAGGCACUGAUAGAUUUAAAUUCAUCUUUCCUGGAACCAGGCCUCCAUGCCUCUUCCUGGCCAUUUCUACAUCAUGACAACAUUCAAGUAUCUCUUCCCUGCUGCACUCUCCUUUACAUGUAAUUUUCUUCCACUGCCUGGUACAUGGUGAAACAAUACUUCUUUGCUAAAGGAAUUUUGAAUGAAUAUGCAUGGGUACUAUAUACACUGAAUACUUUUACUGUCUUUUAUGAUGGAAGAUAAUGGAGAAGGUGCAUCAUCAAUGAAAGAUAUUACUCUGUCUCCAGAUAGGAAUUUGGAAAAGAGGACUACAUAGAGGAAGAAAAAGGAAGGGGGUGGAACCUGAGGCAAGCUCCUUGGGCCCAUGUUCUUCAUCAGGAGGCUUAGCUGGAGACCAGACACGGGGGAUUCUCCUUGGAAACUGCUCCUCUGUGUAGUCCAGAGAAUGUGUGGGUUGACUGACUGCAGCCCAGACAUUUACUAGAAGAGGAAAAGGAAGAGAAGGAAAAGGAGAAAAGGGAGGAGGACGACAAGGAGAAGGACCAAGAAGAAGUAGUAGACAAUUACAGGAGAGAGUGAAGAAGGAAGAGAAAAAGAAGGGAAAGAAGAAACUAAGACUGUGACUAUUAAAUCUGUUUCAUAGCAUAAACUGGUAGUAAUGUGCAUGAUUCUUAAAAGAAAAAUUUUGGAAAAUAAUGAUACUAUGUACUUAGGCACCUAGUUACCACCAUUCUAAUAUUUUAAUUUCUAACUUUUAGUUAAAAGAAUCAGAAUAAAUGUUAAGACUUUGUAGCAUAGGAAAAAGUUGUACAUGAUAGAACCUGAGGUAAAAAAGAGGCCCUUAGUAUUUCUCUUUAAUAAUCAAUAAAGCACAUUAACAAAGGUUAUUAGAUAGCCCUCUUGCGAGACACCUUAAGAAAGGGACAAGAAAAAAAGUGAUUUAAUAUUUAGUGGGAGUGCUGUUCCUAUAUAUCUACAUUCUGACUUAAAUUACUUCCUCUCACCUCUACAA